rnacentral:lncRNA from 1 species
UCCGCCCACCCGGCGGCUCCCAUUGUGCCCCAGGCCCGCGCCGCUCCGCCGUCCUGUGACCGCCUGCGCCCCGCAGCGCGCCCGACGGCCGGCCGCUGGAAGUUCGGGCCCGCGGCGCACGCCCUGCCGCCCCGGGAUGCACGUGAACUUGGAGAAAGUCUCGGGGCGCGCCGGCGCAGACCUCCGCGGCAGGGCGUGGGCGCCCCUGGCCCCGCGCGCUUUCGUUUUCGUCUGGGACAAAGGUCCCUCGCGGCGCAGGUCGCGGACGUGGAGGCAGUGCCCUGCGGGCCACUCAGCGGGGAGGUCCGGUCGUUCAGUCAAGGGAAGCCGGAGCCUGGAGAAGACGAGCCGCGCGGUCGGAGGCGCGGUGCGGGACCAGGACAGUGGGGCCUGGCCGUGCGCUUCGCCCUGGCGGUCCAGGAGCUGUCUCGCCCUCCGAAGAGUUACGGGAGGUGGCACUGCUUUUGCUCUCUGCCCUUUCGACACGUGAAGGAGAGAAUCAUUCGGAACCCAGGACUCAGACCGGUGGCCGAGGGCCUGUGCAGCCGCGAGCACGACAGCGCAGCGCUGGCCGCGUCCGCGCGCGUUCCUCCGACAAGGGCAGAGCAGUCGACCAGCGCGCCCCAGUCUCGAUCGGGUUCAAGGCGACUCUUGAGGACGGUAAGUGCAUUUCUCACUUUCGCUACUUAGUGAAUAUUUAAAUAUUAAUGACGGGAUUUCUAAGAGGAGCCCUUCUGUAGGGCAGGCCUUCCACAGACCAGGGGACCGGGGAAGGAGGCUGUUCUUGAACCUGAAGCCACACCAGCUUGCAGGAACUCCAUGGCCGGCCUUACAAUUGUGGAACUUGGAAUUUGGGGAAUAACGGCUUCCAGUCUCAGGUGUGCAGACCAUUUGCCAGAGAGAAUUUUGUUGAACAUGGAAGAGAGCCUUAGCAGGCGCCCGAGUGGAAGAGAAGGAAACCAGAAGACGUCUGUUUUGAGAUUAGAUGGGCUGGGAAGGGGUAUUCGGAAGCUACCAUCCUUCCUUGAAAAAUUGAAAUCUUGCAUUCACUUCCUAAACCAGCAGUGCUGCUUUUUUUUUUUUUUCUUGCUGGUCAGGCGUUUAUGGAGAGCUGGCUUCGGGCAGCCCUGGGUCCAGCUUCGGCCUUUCGGGCUGGUGGCAUAAAGCUCCGAAUGUGGAAGCGGUUGUUUAUGGUGGCAUAAAAUGAAAGACAUCUCAUAACUUUUCAUAAUAAAUUCCCCUUUAUAGGUGGCUGACACACGGGCCCAGCCGGCAGCCCUGGGGAAUUUGUGGGGAGCAAGAAAGGGGUGAAGGAAUGCACGUUUGCCGUAAUUACAGGGUUUUAAGGUAACACUGAAAUUAAUUUCUUCAAAGUUGGGUUUCAGAGGCCAUGGUGGUCUCUGUAGGCCAGCACUGUGUUCGUUUUAUUUUAGUUCGUUGGUUCUAGUUAUUGGGGAUUUUAAAAUGCAUGUUUGAACCUGCGUGUACCUGUCCUGUUAAAAUGAAACCCGUAACAGGAGGGGAUUAAGCCCGCUUUUUAAUAUGACCGUCUCGCAGGUGUGAUUUCCCCUUUCCGCUCCCUCAUCGUAUUGAUGUGGUUUGGAUAACCUUGCUGCGUGCUUUGACCACAAAAUAAUGGGGAGGGGAGCCUGUUUCCAUAACACCCCAGAGCUGUGAGCUGGCACUUGGAGGCUGUGUUUCCGGGAACGUGGACAGAGGCCCGAGUCGCCCAGGCCUGCCUCAAGCCUCCCUUUCCCCGGGUUUCCAGAUCUGGGGCCAGAAGCCAGAGGAAGCAGGAGACCAUUCCGAUGAGGUCUUUGCCCACCGGCCCCCACCCGGAGGCUCAAAGUUGGCUUCCUCCGGUCAUGCGUUCCUCGCCGUAUUUUUUGCGAGGCCAUCACACACACGCACACCCCCCCCCUCCCCUGUCCCCCGUUUGGGAUUUGUAGUUAUGACUUUAUCAGAGGCAGUGAGCAGACAUGAAACCCCCGGGGUGGGACAUUCAGGAGUGAUCUCGGAAGCGGGGGCGCAGCUGCCGAAGGGGCGCCGCUCCAGCCGGGAGCCGCUGCUUGCCGUGGCAUCGGCCGUGACGGGGUGAGUCAUUUUCAAAAGCCCAAGUUCCGCCAGGGCCUUGCCUGUAAAAUGCAGGAGACGUUUUCCCGGGUCCACAGGUGACCUGUGACGUAUGGCACCACAGGCAGGGAUGGUGUGGCAUCCUGCUCAGACUGGUGGAGCUCCCCACGAUUCACCCCGAAACAAGGGGCAUGGCUUACACCCUCUCCACGGGCCUACCGGCCAGACACUGGGAGCUGGGAAAGGCCUGAGCAUCCGAGGAGGCCUUCCCCACCCCCAGGGCCACUUAGCGGGGGCUGCUAUUUGCCACGGCUCCGGAGGCCCCUCUCCUGCCCCCCCCCCGCCCCCCGUGCCCUGCCCCACCGGGUCUGUGAUGGCGCUGAGCGUCCACUGCAAACAGUGGAGCUGGCCGCACCGAGAGAGGCCCUGCCUUGGCACCAGGCUGCCCUGUCCUGCCUUUGUCCCUGUCCUGAGAGCAGCCCAGUUCUACUAGAGACUCCCCAUGGGGACGUGGGUCCGGCCAGGGGCUUCUGCUUGUGUUGGGAGCUCUCGUCUGGGCUGAAUUUAUUUUUGAGGAGCUGCACACAAGAGCGAGGUUCUGAAAAUGAAACUGGUGCCCUUCUGUUCUUUAUCGCUGGAUUUCAUAGAAGGAAUGUGCCAAGUAGGGGACAGGGUCUUAGGAGCUGUGGCGGGCGGGCGGGCGGGAGGAUGGCCCUGGUGUUCCUGUUUUUGUUUGCAAUCAGGGCGAGCCCAGAGUGGCCCCUGGCCUGCCUUGGGGCCCUGCCACACCCAUUCUCUGGCCACUUGAUGCCCCGGAUCCUGGCCUCAAGGUCUCCGCAGGGAGAUGGGGGUGGUGGCUGACCGCUCAGCUCGUGCAGGGCGGCGACGAGGCUCCGACCAUGGCCAGGUCUCACGUGCCGCCUGAACAGGUGCAGAUGGCGUUUUGCUUUGCUCAGCAGGAGCAGCGGGGAGCCCUGCAGCAGGGUUACGCUUGGGUCCCUAUGGUUUGCACCUGACCGGGGCCCACACUGUGAUCCGGUCUCAUUUGUUCCUAUCCUCAGCGUGGCAUGGACAAGGCCCAACGGGAAGACAGGCUUGGGGGGGGUCUGGGGGGAGGGGCCGGAGGGCUGUGCCCACCCCAACGGGCACCCAGCCUGGGUGAGCGCUCCUUGGUGCCCAGGGAAACCGCCAUGUGCCCCCAGUGAAGGACAGUGCACGAGAAGGGAAAGGAGCCCCCAGGGGCCAGGCAGGAAAACAUCUUCAGACUAUCACGAUAGGUGGUUUUCGGGCUGGGAGGGUGUCUUGGCAUGUUUGGGGAGGACAGAGGAUAUGUUGCAGAAAUCCCGCUAAGCUGGGCGUGGGGGUUAAGUUCACGGCCAGGCAGCUCCAAUUCCGGCCCCUGCCCUGGGGGCUGGCCGUGUGACCCUGGACAAGUCACAUCACCUCCUGGGACUGUACCCCAAGCUCUAGAGCAGGGAUCAUAUUCACAGCGACCUCAGAGGGUCGUUGGGCAAGGUCAGAUGACGCUCUUUGCACCAAACGCGGUUCCUGGCAUGUGCCGGGGACGCCGUAAGUGGCCAUUGUUGUAGUGGUUUUUGUUGUAAAAUGGUAAUCGUCAUUUUUCUUGCUAGUUCUUAUAUUUUCGAGUUUCUAAGAAACAGAGAACGCAGUUUGGGUUUCACUAGAAGGGACACCUGUGGGUUUACCUCCCCCCUCUCCCGCCGCCUCCCCCCCACUCCCCCCGCCCAGGUGGUAGCGACGGUAAACCUUGAUGUUUUCAGACUGUCAGGAACUUGCAAAGCCGGGGCUUCCCUUGUCCUGAGGACUCAGCCGAGAUGCCCUGAGUCCCCCCCCCCAAGCCCCCCUCCGUCCCCUCCGCCAGGGUCCAGGUUCGUGCUCAAGUGCCUUCUGAGACACCUUCUAGGAAUGGAGCCCUCCCGAGAGGGGCACUCGAGGAGCUCACCUGGGUGCUGGCCCCGGGGGUCUGAUCGGAGGAAAAACCAGGCAAGAUGUCCCGCGUCAGGGGUCCAGAGUAGCCACACCAGCCACCAGCGUCCCUGUCGGCGAUAGGGUGGCUCUUCGGUGGAGGCUUUCACCUCCGACAGCCUGAUUGUUCUUGGUGCACGCAGCGAACAUUUACCAAAAUGCUGGCUUGGGGAGAAUUUUCUCUCUUAGCUGAUCCUCCAGGAAGGCCCAGCAGGAGUGCCCUUUCUCAGAACAUCUUGUUGGAACAAGAAAAGAAGCCCAGAUGGCAUCGGCCAUGCUUUCCGAUGUUAUGGAGCCUAGGAGGGAGAAAAAGCAACAAUUGUCUCCCAGCAAAGACAAUGGACCUUUUAUAUGAAAUAUUUAUUUUCAGGGCCGACCAGGGUCCCGUUGGCUGGGACAGCGGAGCACCAGUGUCUGGGCAUCACAGGCCCUGAGAGCUCACUCGGGGACGAGAUUUACAGAAAAGGAAAAGAAAAGUCCCCUGCCUCGUGGUUCUGGGGGAAUUUCAGCGGGAAUGUUUGGCUUUCUUUAUCGAGUGGAGUUUCAACUUUCCCAAGUUUAUUUUUUCUUCCCCUCUGAUUUCUUUUGAAGGGCUGCGGGGGCGUGUUGGCAAGCACGGGAAAGGUAGCCAGCUUUUUGGAUCAUGGGCUGGAUGGGGCCUCUCUGGGGCCAGGCCCAGCCUUUGUCUGCUGGGGGUGGUGGGGGGGUGGUCUCAGAAUGGAGGUGAGAAAAACUGGGAUUGAAAGGGGAGGGUCCGUCCCCAGGCGGGUGGAGAAAAGCCUCCAAGAGCAAAAUGUUGGACAACAUUUGUGAUUUUCAGGUGUCCUUGACUCUUCCCGAAUCUCAUCCUCCGAUGAGCUCGGGAUCGGCCAGCAGGUUAUCGGAGUCUGGCCUGAUUUGGUGAGGGCACCCACAAGCCCUCGGACACCCGCCCCGGCUGGUUGGACAAGCCUGGCCCAAAGUUCAUGCUGGACAGACGUUUUCUGAAUUAAUAGAAUGAGCAGAAUUUUACUCUGAGGCCUGCCCACAAGCUACCUUCUUCUUGGCUCCGCUACUUCGGGGAGUAACCCUCGUUCCUGCUCGAGGCCCAGCUUCGACGCAGCCAGGAAGGCGCCUGGGAAAGCCAGGCCCGGGUCCCAGGCCCGCGUUGGGGACUCCAGGAGGAAUUGAUCAGGCUGGGGCUUGUGGUGGGAGCAUGGGGAAACUAGCCUUCCUAGUGUUGGGUGUCAUUGGGCAGGCCGUGGGGGACCAUCGGCCGAGACCUCCCGCAGCUUAGGGGUGCAGGACAGACGAGGGAGUGGCCCCGAUCCGGGUGGGCAAGGAGGGGCCCCCGCCCACCCGCCAAGCUUCCCUUUUAUCCAAAAGACUUUGUUGGCAAAUUAUAGUAUCUGGCUUGAAAAUGAGCUUUUGUUUUUUUCUAAAUUGCUGUUGCAUC